rnacentral:rRNA from 1 species
CCAAUAGCGUAUAUUAAAGUUGUUGCAGUUAAAAAGCUCGUAGUUGAAUUUCGGGAUCUAUCCGUCGGUCGGGCCUCACGGUCCGCACUGGUGUGAUGGGUUCCUACCUUCUGAAUAACCGGUAUGCCAUUAAUUUGAUGUGCCGGGGAAGCAGAACCAUUACCUUGAAAAAAUUAGAGUGCUCAAAGCAGGCCUAUGCCUGAAUACAUUAGCAUGGAAUAAUAAAAUAGGACGGCAUGGUUCUAUUUUGUUGGUUUCUAGGAUCACCGUAAUGAUUAAUAGGGAUAGUUGGGUGCAUUAGUAUUCAAUUGUCAGAAGUGAAAUUCUUGGAUUUAUUGAAGACUAACUUCUGCGAAAGCAGUUGCCAAGGAUGUUUUCAUUAAUCAAGAACGAAAGUUAGGGGAUCGAAGACGAUCAGAUACCGUCGUAGUCUUAACCAUAAACUAUGCCGACUAGGGAUCGGACGAUGUUAAUUUUAUAAUGACUCGUUCGGCGCCUUACG